rnacentral:rRNA from 1 species
AACGAACGCUGGCAGCAUGCCUAACACAUGCAAGUCGAACGAGACCUUCGGGUCUAGUGGCGCACGGGUGCGUAACGCGUGGGAACCUGCCCUUAGGUUCGGAAUAACUCCCCGAAAGGGGUGCUAAUACCGGAUAAUGUCUUCGGACCAAAGAUUUAUCGCCUUUGGAUGGGCCCGCGUUGGAUUAGCUAGUUGGUAGGGUAAAAGCCUACCAAGGCGACGAUCCAUAGCUGGUCUGAGAGGAUGAUCAGCCACACUGGGACUGAGACACGGCCCAGACUCCUACGGGAGGCAGCAGUGGGGAAUAUUGGACAAUGGGCGAAAGCCUGAUCCAGCAAUGCCGCGUGAGUGAUGAAGGCCUUAGGGUUGUAAAGCUCUUUUACCCGGGAUGAUAAUGACAGUACCGGAAGAAUAAGCUCCGGCUAACUCCGUG